GUGGUCCCAAACAUACCAUGUGGAUGCAUUUGUCCGAGGACAGACUAGACAGAGGUAGAGAGAAGCUGAUGUAUGAAGAUAGGGUGGACAGGACCGUGAAGGAGGCAGAAGAGAAGUUGACCGAAGUGUCUCAAUUUUUUCGUGACAAAACCGAGAAGCUCAACGACGAACUGCAGUCCCCGGAGAAAAAGCCACGCCCCAAAAACGGCAAGGAAUACUCUUCUCAGAGUUCCACCAGCAGUAGCCCCGAGAAAGUGUUAACAGAACUGUUGGCAUCCAACGAUGAAUGGG
rnacentral:lncRNA from 1 species